rnacentral:lncRNA from 1 species
UACGGAGCUGUUUGGACUCUUCAUUGAGACACUAGCUGAUCUGAUUGAUACUCAUGACCUUGUAGAAGCUGGAGUGCGUAAUUAUAAGCAAGACGCACCCCUUGGGGACCCCUACCAACUCAUAGGGGGUCUAACAGCGGCUAACAGGCGUGCCUGUUAGGGAAUGUUAGCCUAACAGAUUCUCUAACAGUGAUGGGGCUGUCAGACGAUGUUUGGGCUGGCGGCAGGUGGAUCUGGCUGUUAACAAGCAUGUUGAAGAAGUAGAACAGGAAUUGGUGC